AUUGAACGCUAGCGGGAUGCCUUACACAUGCAAGUCGAACGGAGUGGCGAACGGGUGAGUAAUGUAUCGGAACGUGCCCAGUAGCGGGGGAUAACUACGCGAAAGCGUAGCUAAUACCGCAUACUAUUGGAGCGGCCGAUAUUGGAGUAGCUAGUUGGUGGGGUAACGGCUCACCAAGGCGACGAGCCGUAGCUGGUUUGAGAGGAAGACCAGCAAAACUGGGGCUGAGAAGCGGCCCAAACUCCUACGGGAGGCAGCAGUGGGGAAUUUUUGGCAAUGGGGGAAACCCUGGUCCAGCCAUCCCGGGUGUGCGAUGAGGGCCUUCGGGUUGUAAAGCACUUUUGGCAGGAAAGCGGUACCUGCAGAAUAAGCACCGGCUAACUACGUGCCAGCAGCCGCGGUAAUUC
rnacentral:rRNA from 1 species